rnacentral:miRNA from 1 species
UUUUUAGUAUAAGUAGGUCCCAUAUAUUGCAUGGGAUCUAUUUAUAUUAAAA